AUUGAACGCUGGCGGCAGGCCUAACACAUGCAAGUCGAACGAGUGGCGGACGGGUGAGUAAUGUCUGGGACACUGCCAGAUGGAGGGGGAUAACUACUGGAAACGGUAGCUAAUACCGCAUACCAUCGGAUGUGCCCAGAUGGGAUUAGCUAGUAGGGGGGGUAACGGCUCACCUAGGCCACGAUCCCUAGCUGGUCUGAGAGGAUGACCAGCCACACUGGAACUGAGACACGGUCCAGACUCCUACGGGAGGCAGCAGUGGGGAAUAUUGCACAAUGGGCGCAAGCCUGAUGCAGCCAUGCCGCGUGUGUGAAGAAGGCCUUCGGGUUGUAAAGUACUUUCAGCGAGGAGGCGUUACUCGCAGAAGAAGCACCGGCUAACUCCGUGCCUGCAGCCGCGGUAAUAC
rnacentral:rRNA from 1 species